rnacentral:tRNA from 1 species
GCUCUUUUCGUCUAGCGGCCCAGGACACCGAGCACCCGCAAGGGACUCGGAAACGCCGGUUCGAAUCCGGCCGAGAGCACC